UACAGAGGGUGCAAGCGUUGUUCGGAAUCAUUGGGCGUAAAGCGCGCGUAGGUGGCUUUGUAAGUCCGUUGUGAAAGUCAAAGGCUCAACCUUUGAAUGCCGAUGGAUACUGCGGAGCUAGAGUACGGAAGAGGCGAGUGGAAUUCCUGGUGUAGCGGUGGAAUGCGCAGAUAUCAGGAGGAACACCAAUAGCGAAGGCAGCUCGCUGGGACGUUACUGACACUAAGGCGCGAAAGCGUGGGGAGCGAACAGG
rnacentral:rRNA from 1 species